GCGCCCGUGGCGGAAUUGGUAGACGCGCUACCUUGAGGUGGUAGUGGGAGCAAUCCUGUGUAAGUUCAAGUCUUAUCGGGCGCACCA
rnacentral:tRNA from 1 species